UGGGGAAUCUUGCACAAUGGAGGAAACUCUGAUGCAGCGACGCCGCGUGGACGAUGAAGCCCUUCGGGGUGUAAAGUCCUUUCGACCGGAACGAUAAUGACGGUACCGGUGGAAGAAGCUGCGGCUAACUACGUGCCAGCAGCCGCGGUAAUACGUAGGCAGCAAGCGUUGUUCGGAAUUAUUGGGCGUAAAGAGCUCGUAGGCGGUUUGCCAAGUUUGGUGUGAAAUCUCCCGGCUUAACUGGGAGGGUGCGCCGAAUACUAGCAGGCUAGAGUACGGGAGAGGAAAGCGGAAUUCCUGGUGUAGCGGUGAAAUGCGUAGAUAUCAGGAGGAACACCUGCGGUGUAGACGGCUUUCUGGACCGAAACUGACGCUGAGGAGCGAAAGCGUGGGUAGCAAA
rnacentral:rRNA from 1 species